rnacentral:lncRNA from 1 species
AACUUUUCACGAUUUCAGAAAAUUGUUCAUUUCAUUUAAAACUGAUUUCGACGAAAAUGGUUUCGAUUCAAUCUGUUUUAAAGAGAAGUUGUGCUUGAAAACUUUCGUAGAAGUGCAAGAGAAGAUUAAGGAGGUUUGCAGUAAUGUAAAUUACAUAAAUGAAACACAAACCAAAAUUUACCGUAGUUCGGUCAAGGUGACCUACAUCUACUUUCGGAUUCCUCCUCUGACGAGAUCACCAGCGUCCA